AUUUGAUGCACAAUGAAAAUAUUUUCUGAUUUUUUUCCCUCCAUAAACAACAAGUAUACUUCCUGGUCAAAUAUUUUGUGUGAUCCUUACAAGGCACUUGUGAUGAGAAACCUAUCAUUAAGCCUUGGCUGAGGAAACUGGGUCACAACAUAGUGGAGAGAGUGCAAACAGUUUCAACGAGGCAGCUCCCUAAAGCUAAAGAAGAAGGCACAGCAGUCUCUCAGUUCCUUCGGAAGAGAACGUUUGCACAUAUUCGGAAUAUAAUGGAAAGUGUCUUUCGGUUUGUGAGUCAUUCUUAAUUUAUCUCCAUCCCAAGAUAAAUUCACUUUGGGGGGGGAAUUGCAAGACAGUGCGCCGUCAUGUUUGAUUUAUGUUAGAAUAAAAGAAAAAUUCAAAUGCUGAAGCUUUUCUCU
rnacentral:lncRNA from 1 species